rnacentral:rRNA from 1 species
GAUGAACGCUGUCUACAGGCUUAACACAUGCAAGUCGAGGGGAAACGACGGGGAAGCUUGCUUCCCCGGGCGUCGACCGGCGCACGGGUGAGUAACGCGUAUCCAACCUGCCUCUGACUGAGGGAUAACCCGUCGAAAGUCGGCCUAAUACCUCAUGGCAUCGUCUGCGGGCAUCCAACGACGAUUAAAGAUUUCAUCGGUCAGGGAUGGGGAUGCGUCUGAUUAGCUUGUUGGCGGGGUAACGGCCCACCAAGGCUACGAUCAGUAGGGGUUCUGAGAGGAAGGUCCCCCACAUUGGAACUGAGACACGGUCCAAACUCCUACGGGAGGCAGCAGUGAGGAAUAUUGGUCAAUGGGCGGGAGCCUGAACCAGCCAAGUAGCGUGCAGGAUGACGGCCCUAUGGGUGGUAAACUGCUUUUAUGCGGGGAUAAAGUGAGGGACGUGUCCUUCAUUGCAGGUACCGCAUGAAUAAGGACCGGCUAAUUCCGUG